rnacentral:rRNA from 1 species
CACGUAGGGUGCGAGCGUUGUCCGGAUUUAUUGGGCGUAAAGAGCUCGUAGGUGGUUCGGUAAGUCGGAUGUGAAAUCUCCAGGCUCAACCUGGAGGGGUCAUUCGAUACUGCCGUGACUAGAGGUCGGUAGGGGAGUGUGGAAUUCCUGGUGGAGCGGUGAAAUGCGCAGAUAUCAGGAGGAACACCCGUAGCGAAGGCGGCACUCUGGGCCGAUACUGACACUGAGGAGCGAAAGCGUGGGGAGCGAACAGG